UACGUAGGAGGCGAGCGUUAUCCGGAUUUACUGGGCGUAAAGAGGGCGUAGGUGGCUUUUCAAGUCGGGUGUAAAAUCUCCUGGCUCAACUAGGAGGGACCAUCCGAUACUGUUGGGCUAGAGGGCAGCAGAGGGAGGUGGAACUCCCGGUGUAGUGGUGAUAUGCGUAGAUAUCGGGAGGAACACCAGUGGCGAAGGCGGCCUCCUGGGCUGUUCCUGACACUGAGGCCCAAAAGCGUGGGGAGCCGAACAGGAUUAGAUACCCUUGUA
rnacentral:rRNA from 1 species